CAUAAGACGAAAAGACCCUAUGGAGCUUUAAGCUAUUAUACUACCAAACCACAAACCCCCCUUCCACCGUCCUAGUAUAUACUUUCAGUUGGGGCAACUACGGAGCAAAACAAAAACUCCACGGACAAACGUCUAAUACACGCAGCACCUCAGGCUGCCACGCCGUACACCCCAGACCCAGUCUAACUGAGCAACGGACCAAGUUACCCUAGGGAUAACAGCGCCAUCUUCCCCCCAGAGCCCAUAUCCACGGGGAGGCUUACGACCUCGAUGUUGGAUCAGGACCCCCCGGCGGUGCAGCCGCUGCCAAAGGUUCGUUUGUUCAACGACUAACGUCCU
rnacentral:rRNA from 1 species